rnacentral:rRNA from 1 species
UACGUAGGGCGCAAGCGUUGUCCGGAAUUAUUGGGCGUAAAGAGCUCGUAGGCGGCUUGUCACGUCGGUUGUGAAAGCCCGGGGCUUAACCCCGGGUCUGCAGUCGAUACGGGCAGGCUAGAGUUCGGUAGGGGAGAUCGGAAUUCCUGGUGUAGCGGUGAAAUGCGCAGAUAUCAGGAGGAACACCGGUGGCGAAGGCGGAUCUCUGGGCCGAUACUGACGCUGAGGAGCGAAAGCGUGGGGAG